rnacentral:lncRNA from 1 species
AUAGCCUCUCAAUCACGAAUGUGCAAGAAGAAUAAGGGAAGGUUUCAACAAUCACUAUUAGGAAGCACACUAAGGUAGAAAAAAACUUAGUUACUCGAUAUACAUCUGGAAUUCAAGUAAGAAAAGCAACUCUAUGGUCAAGAAGUAAUAAAUUCUAACCAUUAGUAAAUCGUACCACAAUAAUCUUCUGUCAAAUUACAAUGCAUUUAUAAGCUAAUGUCAACAACUACACCAGAAUAAGAAGCCAGAAAACUGAUAAGCUCAAUAACAUUGAGAGGAAAUGUCAAUAUUAAAUGCCACACUGUGCACCAUGUAAAAGAUUUCUCAAUUAAACUGGUGCAAAGGUUAAAAGAUACGAAGAGUUCACACUUGGUAAAGCAAUGGAUAACUUUAUUGCAAUGAACGCACAAUUCUAUCCUUAUUCAAGAAAAUCAAAACACAGAAGGAGGUCUCACAACCCAGGAAGCUAAUUGAAACAAAUCUUAACACACUGCCAUGAAUAGAAUAGACUUGCAAUUCAUUUGUGUCCAUUGUUUCAAAAAGUUGUUUGAUACUUAUGACUUGAGGCACCCCUCACGUCAGGCUGUCAUGAUAAGCCUUAAAGCAUGGGCCUUUAGUGCCAUUUUUUACACUUACGCAUCAAUUCCAGAGAGUUAUGCCUCGCAGGCAAUAAGGUGUGCACGCUUUUGUCUUGCCUUUCAUGGUUAUAUCAACUUUUUUGGCUAUUUUUUACAGGCUAGAACGUUUUACUAGUUUUUGUUUCUGUGCUGUUUGGGAGAAAUUAUAAUGGGAUUAUAAUGAAAAUGUUACGAGUUUUUGUUUCUGUGCUUUUUGGGAGAAAUUAUAAUGGGAUAAUGAAAAUGAGUAGCAGGUCCACAAAAUGUGUAGAUAAUAAGUAGCUAGUAGUUAUGGAUGCAUGGUUAAAAUUAAUGUUUGACAUUGACAACAAAUUAUAAGGAUAUUAUAAUUUCUCCUAAACAAGCAAUUUCUCGUUUCUGCCUUUCAAGGGGAAGACACUAUUCCUAGUGAUAAGGGGUAACAAAGUAUCAGAAGAAAUUGAUGGUUGUGAUGAGGAUGGUAGGGAAUCAAAUAUGUUGAAGAUUCACUUAAAAAUCUGCAAUAAUCCGGAUUCCAAAAUUGUUACAUGAUUGAUAAUUUGAAACUUACUACUUUCUACUUUAUACUGAUUUCCUUAUGUUUGAUUGCAAGCUACACUUCUAAUUUUGUCAAUUUGUUUAUUAUGAAGUUUCAAGAUGAUUUAUGGUUUAUUAUAAACGUAUUUUCAUAUUUUUAUUUAUACUGAAUUAUUACAUUGGCUUGCAUGGAUUACAACUCAAAACACUCCGAGACUAAGGCCUUGCCUCACAGAUGUAAAAGACAUCAGUUAUUUCAUUGCCCACUUGUCAAAACUGAACCUUGACAUUAUCCAUACCUAAAUAUGCCAACACUUAUAUUAUACACACUUGUCAAACUUGAAACUCAUCAUAAACCAAACCUAGAUACUGACAAUCAUGGCAUUACCCAAUUUCCAAAAUCAAACACUUUCUAAAUGUAAAAGUUCCCAAUUGCAGCCAUAGAGAAGCAGCAUUUAAGACAACUAGUAUGCUAAAAAUUUCAACAUUAUCAAUUGCAAACAAGACGAGUCAAAAGCUAAGAACCGGACCUCCAAAGAAAAAAUGCACGUGUGAAUUUCACCCUCUAAAGCAAAGUGAUACAUCGUCAAAGGCGUCACGAAUAUCAGGAUUCACAUUUUGUAUUUUGCAAACUUGUUAUAGCUAAAUAAAUUUAUUACAAAUCGGUUUCAAAUCAAGUUGUACCACCAAGAACAUAACAAAAAUAUCAAAUCUCUAAACCCCAAAAUCAACUUCAACCUUUAAAAAUCAACAGAAAUAUGCAGACGCACACAAAUCAACACAAGGUUUAUCCAGAAAUAUAUACAGACAAACGCAUAACUGGGGAAGAAUUGGUUUUUAUUAAAAAACUCAGUCAAAACACCAAAUUUUUCAAUUAUAAAAAAUAAAAAAGACAAACAAUUAACCUACAGGUCCAGAAAUUCAAAACCCCAAAAUCAUACAACUUUAUAAUCAACAAUCUAAAAAAAAAAAAACAAGAAGAAUAAAAGCUGAAAAGUACAAAAUUUAGAACGAAACCCUUCAAAAGUUCUUGAUGAAUCAACAAUAAAAUUAAAUUUCCUAAAUAAAAAGCUUACCGAAUCGACCCGAGCCCAGAUCUGCAAUGAUCUCGCCCACGACAAUCCCAACUCAAGGAAACAAGUGAAUAUUUAUAUUUACAUAAAUACGAAAAGAAAAACAGGGAUUAGGGUUUCUUUAUUUCCAUGAAUUGGGUUUUGUUCAGAGAAAUUUUAUGGGUUCUGUCAGGUGGCCAUGAAUUUUGAAGAGAAGAAGAUGAACAGCACGUAUAGAUAUGGAAAGAGGAAGGAAGACGUGAUGACUUUUUUCUUUAAUACUUGAAAAUCAUCGGGAUGAUAGGCUGCUGCUGUGUUUUUUUGUUUAGGAUGGUCUACACGGCUAUGACCUUUCCCAAGCCAAGCCCUUUG